UCAGGCGAACUCGCUGCGUAUGUAUGCGUGUCUCCAGCUAGGCCAGAGAGUGAUGGCGGCGCCCGUCCUGAGAGUGUCCACCCCUCGGUGGGAAAGAAUAGCUAGGCUACUCGUUUGCCUGUUGGGCAUCCUGUUGUCUCUAUAUGCCUUUCACGUCGAGAGGGAAAAGGCUCGGGAUCCGAGUUUUAAGGCCAUGUGCGACGUCAGCAGCUCCAUCAGCUGUUCGAAAGUGUUCAGCUCAAGGUGGGGUCGAGGAUUUGGACUCCUGGGCUCAAUUUUUGGAAAUGACAGCGCACUGAACCAACCCAACAGUGUCUACGGGAUCGCCUUUUAUGCCUCUCAGCUCCUACUAGGAAUGACUGUGAGUGCAAUGGCCGCCCUUAUUCUCAUGACGACAUCCAUCUUGUCGGUGGUGGGUUCGCUCUACCUGGGCUACAUCCUCUACUUUGUCCUAAAGGACUUCUGCAUCAUCUGCAUCACCACAUACGCGCUGAACUUCAUUCUCUUUAUUCUCAACUACAAGCGACUGGUUUACUUGAACGAGGCCUGGAAGCAGCAGCUUCAGGCCAAGCAGGACUAAGCUGUCGAGAGCCGCAAGAAAAGUGCGACAAACAAACAAACAAAAGAAAAAAAGAAAUGUGACCUCUGAACAUUUGACUUGCCACCAGGAGACCUUGCUUCCAAACAAUGUUUAUUCUGCUGUGUGUUUAAAAAGAAAAAAAAACAAAGAAAAAACAAAGAAAAGGAAAAAAAAGAAGAAGAAAUUUAACUUAAAUGUUGGGCCGGACAUCUCAAUGUUGCAAACACGGAAGGAGUUCGGAGGCAGAAGACCACGAUACCGAACGAUGGAGGACAGCUCUCUUGUGAACAAAAAGGAUCGCAGAACGGAAGAAAACAGGACAUUAAAGGGGUUUACUUGAAACGGUUAGAAAAGGUCCGAUUGCUGCACAGCGGAUCUGCACUAAAAACUCCGAACCGAAUAAUGUGUCCCAAAAUAAUAAUAAAAAACACUCAUUAGUUUAUCCUACAGUUUGCAGAUAAGGUUCUAGCGGGGGAGAGGGGGGGGCAAAAGGAUUAACAUUUAUACAGAAUAGUUUGUUUUCAUGUUUACACUUUGUAGUAUGUUUCUUUUAUGAAGAGGACCACUAAAAAUCAACACGGGACAAUGUGAGAAAACUUGUGUGUAGAUCAGUCCGACUGUUUGUUUCGCUAUUCUGUAAAUAGCUGCUGAGCAAUAUUCCAGGCUAGAUUGUGAUUUAGUGUUGACACAAACCUUUACGGACAAAAAUGAAGAAAAAACAACAACACACCAACAGAACAGGAGAGAACAUCAGUAAAUUGGGAACCAAAAAAAAAGCGAUAAAUGUCACUUGUCAGGUGGAGGAGUCUGAAGAUGUGCUCGGGACGUCCUCCGCCCCCCAAAUCCUGGUCAGGCAUGCAGUUGAGUGUGUGGAUUUCUUUGUUGCAAGUGGUUGUCGUUUCAUCUGAAGCCACCGACACAAGUCUUUCAAACUGAACUUUGGGUUCUUCUCACCAAGUUUGCAUAAAGGCACCCUCACUUUUUUUUUUUUCUUCAUUCUCUUUUUGGUUAUGUGAAAAGCAUUCCUGACCUCCACACAAGUGGGAUCCAUAAUGAAUUAUGUGCCUAAAGGAGUGUUAAGGUGAAUUACCUUAAUUUCUUUUUUUUACGUUUCGGUUGUGGGUGGGGGGGUAAUGUCAUGUUGUUACCAGGUCUGCUCGUUGUUUUCUUGUCACAGGUCCAAGGCUUUAUUUUUAUGAUCACAGUUUUGUAAGUUAAGAUACCAGUGAAGUGUUUCUCCCUCCCUAAUAGUCUCAUGAGGUAGCGACGGCUGCUACACUGUGAUUGUCUGCUGAAGUGUAGAGUGGCAGAGGCAUCUCCUAUCUUACUGUUUCAAUGUGUUAAUGCUCAUCUGGCUUGUGUUCACUGUCCAGCCUGUAUACAUUUGAUGUCAAUUGAACGGUGACGGUGAUCUUGCCAAGUUGAGUUACGGUUCAUUUGCAGGAUGUGAACAAAACACGUAAUGCUUGAUGUUGACGUGAGAGGCAGAGGCGUAACGGGGGUGUUAAGAUUCUGUACGACAAAAUUUUUUUAUUUAUUUUUUUUUAUUUUUUAAAAAGCAGAACGUUAAGCCAUAUGCAGGGUUUGUGGGAUCUUCGGAUCCAGUAGGAAAGACAUCCGGGUCGCUGGUGGGUUUCUAACAUGAACCGCUGCCGACACCGAGGCUUUUCAUGAAGUGGUUCAUCUCUAACAUAGCAAGGUUUGUACAGGCCCAGUAUGGGGGGAGAGCAACCACUGCUGGUAGUGGCGCUGCUAGAAAUCCACAGUAUUGCCAGUUCAGUCCAGCACUAAGUGACAGAGUCGGACCAUCCACUGAUUUAAAGCACCCUGCCCGUCGGGUGCAUGGUACACUAUCUCCUCGCUUUACGCAUAUGUUGGACAUCGGACAAUCCUACACUCACAGAUCCAGAACAGUCGUAGUAAUAACUGUACCAAUGUGAUUCAUCUGUGGUGUUAAACCGGCUUGUUAAUAGUUCCCAUUACUGCUCGUCUCCGUGCCCCCUGACAGUUGUUUGUGGAGUGAGGGUUGUUGAAGUAUUGAUGAUCGCAACUGCCAGGAAAGUAAUCUCAGCGACACGUUUCCUGUGAUGACGCUCAUGAAGUCAUCGCUCGUCUAUGAAAAUGGAAAUUGAGGAGGUACCACCUCCCAGGAUAUUAUCAAGUGAAAUUGUUGUCUGUUCAUUCAUGUUGUAACCCAUUUACUUCUAAUCAUUUAGAGGCUGUGUUACAUUAUUGUUGCCCAUUUUCCAAAGCAUAAUAGUGUUUUCCUACAUACCGGGCAGACGGCAGUUUCCGUUCACUUCACUAUGUGAUGGGCUACACUUUAAUAAGAGAUGCUUCCAGCACUUAAUCCUUCACAGUGAAGAUCUAUAUACUGUUCACCAUGUCAACGUUUGUCCUUUGGGUCCCAGUAUAAGUGAUUUAAUGUGAUGCAGUUUGGCAUCGAGUCUACACCUCAGUCAUCCUCUGAUGGAUAACCCAACUUAAAGGAGUACUCCACCAUGUUAGCAUGCACUCUAAUAACAUUUAUUCACAAUUGAUGCAGCAAAACCAAGAAAUAUCUUUUAUUUAUUCCAUGCGUUCUUCUUUCUCCUCGUCAAAACCCGGGGCCUACAUUACCCACAGUACAACUCGACCACCGGGUUUUGGUAUGCUAGUAGUGGCUAACGUAGCAAAUGUAUGCAGUAGGACUCCCCAACACCCGUGAACAGACCUCAAUGUGUACAUUCUGUGGAGUAUCCCUUUAAACACAUUCCAUUCUCUUUGAAAGUGUAUUAUUCUCAUGCCGUUCAGUACAGAGUGGGAACCAACGGCUGCAUGGAAGAGAGUCAUUCAAACAAUAGUUUGCUUUGGAAAAUGGUCGGCAGUUCUGCUACAUUAAUUACACCAUUGGUAGUAAACUGGCCAAAAACAUGCAUGCACCAACACAGUCCUCCCAUAGGAUGAUUCAAAUGUUUGCAUCAUUUCUCAGCAAGUCAUCUUUAAGAUCUUCCGUAUACAGUAUUGCCGUGUCGGGCUUACAUCAGGUUCUGUUUCAUCUCGACUCAGAAAAAGAUUGACAACCGCACUGUUUUGUCUUUUGUCUGUGAACGCCUGUGCACUCGCAUGUAAGACAAGUCUCCUAUGGAUUCACUUGCACAAGUCAAACUGACAUAGCGUGCUGGUUUUUGCGGCAACGGCUAUGGGUCCCGUGAGUACCGGCGACCAUAGAACUGACAAGUGCACAGGAGGUAACAUUACGUUCAUGAUUCCAGUCAUUUGCAAGCCUGUCACACUCGUGUGCAGUUACUGAGGAAUUUGGAUGUCGAGUCAAAAGUUAGAAAUCUUUGGCUGGUAAACACAUGUUGUAUGACGAUUUAAUGUCAAGAAGAAAGGUCAAAACGAUCGAUAACUGCAUUCUCAAGAAUAUUCAUUUAGGUCCUGAGGUAUAACUGCCAUGUUAGUUGCAUCACCAAUGCCAACAAAAGUGCCUUCUGUUUGAUCACCAGGCCUUGAGCCAAAGACGAGCAACAGUAAUCGCCUUGUAAAAUGAAGAAUGGUAACCAUAACGGGCACUGAUGCUUGCUUUCCUGAAGAUGUAAUCUGAUAAAUUGGUAAUUCCCAAAGAGUUGAUAUCCAGUAUCGGUACAUUGAUCCAUUCGGAGAUUGCCAGACAAAAUGCCCUGUCAAAUCAAUGGUCAUCCCCUUUUCCCUUCCUGAACUCCUCUAUAAUUAUCUUUUAUUUUGUCUAGCUAGGACACGUUUGUUAGCUAAGAAUACACUCUGUUUAAACUACAUGAUUGUAAUGUUAUUUUUUUUCCAUCCCUAAUUAUGCCCUUUAGCUGUAUAGACUGUUAACAUUCUGCGGUUAUUUUAGUAAAAAAUGAAAUAAAAAGUUGGGGAGGGGGGCUAGGAAUCCAUGUGUCAGCAUAAAAUGUUUAUUCAAUUUCUUUGUGGAGGAAAACUUACUGAGUUUGCUUCUGUAUUGCCAAAUAUGUUUUAAAAUGCUGUAUUUUCUUACAUGGAAAAGUGUUACAUGAAUGGUAGGAGGGUGCAAAAAAAAUAAAAUCUGUUCAAAUCCAUCUUACCUUAAGGGAAAACUGUGGUUGACAUGAGAACAUUUUUAAUUGUGUCAUUGUCAUGUGGAAAUGAUCUACCAUUAAAACAUUCCCUCUGAAAAUA